UGUCGCUCCGCCCAAAAGUGUCGCCCCGCCCCAUCGUCCAGACUGCACUCUGGGGUACUACGAGGCAGCCGCUCCUUCAGCCCAUCAUUCAGGUUGCCUCGGAAGAAGACCACGAGAGAGUAAUUUGGAAAGUCAGAGACGUUUGCCAGAGCCAGGAAGUCGUGAAUGUGGUCUUCAAUAGGUCGGUCCCCUUGCUUCAGGCUGAGCAGAUCGUAAUUUGCCUGAAAAACUGCUGGAUCCAUUGUGGUCGAUCGUUCUGUUACGUUUGAGCAAUGAGGCAGACGAGGAGGUACGGAUCCAAACGCAGUUCAAACUUUAUUAAAUGAACAGCACAGGAAAAACACAAAGGAACAGCCCACGAUGGGGAAAGGAAACAUAAAAGUAUAAACUAAACACGAGAUGACCAAAGAGGGCAUUCGAGGGAGAAUCACACACCAGGUUGACAUCAAACAACGAUCGACAAAGACAGCACAAAGACACGGGGUAUAAAUAGACAAACGUGGGAAAGGUGGCCAAUGAAAGAACAGAACUCAAACAAGGUGCAUAUUUAAGAUCAGUCCUGACAAGGGCUCCAAAGUUGAGCGCCUGGAAAAAAAGAAGAGGAAUGCAGUGAACCCGAAAGUCCUGACCCUUAUCACUCGCAUUUCGGAGUUUGAGUGGAGUUCUUAAUGAGUUACACAGACGAAAUAACGAGUAGAAUGAACAUGCGUCUAGAAUGACGAAAACAAACAUACAAAAAAAAACAACGGAGUAUGAAGUAAUCGUUGGUUAUUCGCUGCAUCGUCACUGAAAAAUGACAUUGUUGUGGAGAAUGCUGCUUACGGAAACGGAAAGCCACUUACAUACUAUGCAUGUAAACAUGAACACUUCGUGUCUUAAAGGGGUAGUUCACCCAAAAACUAAACUUGUCAUUACUCUCCCUCGUGUCGUUCAUGUUUGUUCAUCUUCAGAACACAAAUGAAGAUAUUUUUAACUCUUUCCCUGCCAGCGUUUCAAAAAAUAAGUUGCCAGGAUUUUUGAUGAUAUUUUGGUUUACGGAUAUAUGAACAUUUUAUAUAUCAAAAUAAAGAUCUGAGCCUCUGCUUUAAAAAAAAAAAAACACAGAAAAAACCUGUUUUAUUUUAUCUUAAUUUGUUCUUAUUUGAUCACCACUUGAACAUAGGUAGGUUUUGUCAAAAAUACAACAUUCUGUACAAAAAGCUUAGAAAAAUGCAUUUUGAACUACAUUCUCCAAACUCCUUCCCGUUUGUGCUUAUCACGUCUAUGUUCGCAGAUGCUUGUUUCUCUGAUCUGGAAGUCUCGUACUCAGAACAUGCGCAAGGGCUUUCCCUACCGAAUGCCUCCUGAAACACGGAAAAGUCUGUGUUUGGCGUGGAAAGAGUUAAUGAUCCUCCUUUGACAUCCUAAGUAACUGAAACUUUCAAGACCCAGAAAUGUAUAAAUACAUCAUUAAAGUUGAUCAUGUGACUCCAGUGGUUCAAUCUUCAUUUUAUGAAGCCACGGGAAAAAACUUAAUUCAAUAAUUUCUUUACUUCAGCGUGUAUCUUCAUUUGUGUUCUGAAGAUGAACAAAGGUCUUACGGAUUUGGAACGACAUGAGGGAGAGUAAUUAAUGGCAGAAGUUGGGUGAACUAUGCUUUUAAGCAGCUUUCUCUCAUCAAACAUUUUACUGGUGUCAGUGUAAAUGAGGUAUGAUAUUUGAUCACUGCAGAAGUUAUUACUCCACCACCUGCGUGAUGUCAUUAAUGACAGUUUUAUGUUGUUGAACCUACAUGGGUUGAACGAUAGAUGUGCCACAGUUGCUAUUGUUAUUGGAAAUAGUUGUGACAGACAUUACUUAUUUCAGUAAGUUUGAACCUAGUCUUAUAAGGCAGAUGUUUUAGCUUGUACAUAUUGCUAAUCUUUCUAAUAAACCGUCUGUACUUCUCAUCUCCUGUACUAGAUGCCGUUUUUUUUCUCACAAGUUGUUAUGUUCUUUACAGACCCAAGGAGGAUUAUGUGCAUGGGUUGAACUGUUGGCCUGUGGCCGGCAGCGGCAGAUUUUCCAGAGAAAAUCUCUGGAAUCUCAAGUGCACAGACUUAUAAAAAGUCCACUGGCACUAUUCUACAUCCUCUUCUUGUCGUUUAAAACACAUCUAUUCUUUUCUUAUCUCUUCCUCACUAACAGGUUGUAAUGUAAAAAUUCCAAGGUCUUAAUCGUUAUAGAAUUCUACACUACAUGUUAGCACAGUAAACGAGAUGAUCUGUUCAAAAAUGUCCUUCACUUUUGAU